GGAGCAGUGCGAGCUGUUGCUAGUGUAUACAAGUUAUAAGUUCAGUAAGGGCGACCGGGGAGAAGCAAUGUUUAAGGGAGGACACAUUGAUGCUGAGUGCAUAAAGGAUCUAAUAAAGCCUUCUGAGCAGCAAACCUUUGCUUCGUCUCCCCAAGGUGUCUCCCCUUAGUUUCCAAACCACGGUCAGGUGACUGUUGCAGGAAAGAUCAACAGUUUUAUAAUUUAAGAUCUCAGCAAAUCAGAAACAGCUUUAAUGGGAAAGUAUGUAAUGUGUACUGUUGUAAUCUUCGUCUGAAGUAUGCACAGUAUAAAUACUUUUCAUAUAUAUUAAUCAUUAUGGUACCCAGAUACACACACAGUGAAGAAAAUAAGUAUAUGAACACCCUGAUAUAUCACAUGUUUUCCCACUUAAAAAUCAUGGAGGGGUCUGAAAUUUUCAUCUUAGGUGCACGUACGAAAAAACAAGAAAUUACAAUGUAUUAUUUUGUAACUAUUUAUUUGUGUGAUACAGCUGUAAGUAUUUGAAAACCUACUGUAUCAGCUAGAAUUCUGACACUCAAAGACCUGUCAGUCCGCUUUUUAAAGCCCACCUGCACUCCAUGUAUUAUCCUGAAUCAGAUGCACCUGUGUGAGGUCAUUAGCUGCAUAAAGACACCUGUCCAUCCCAUGCAAUCAGUAAGAUUCAAACUUGUAACAUGGCCAAGACCAAAGAGCUGUCCAAAGACACCAGAGACAAAAUUGUACAACUCCACACGGUUGGAAAGGGCUACAGAGAAAUUGCAAAGCAGCUUGGUGAAAAAAGUUCCAAAAUGGAAGAAGCUAAACAUGACUCUAUCUUAAUCAAAGUGGAGCCCCAUGCAAGAUAUCACUUCGUGUGGUCUCAAUGAUCCUUCAGAAAGAAUACACGACAGGACUUGGUCAAUGACUUGAAAAAAGCUGGGACCACCGUUUCCAAGGUACUGUUAGUACAACACUAAGACGUCAAUAGUUUGAAAUCACGCAUGGUAUGGAAGGUUCCCCAGCUUAAACCAGCACAUAUCAAACUUUUUGGUCAUAAUUCCACUUACUGUGUUUGGAGGAAGACAAAUGAUGAGUUCCAUCCCAGAACGCCAUCCCUACUGCGAAGCAUGGGGGUGGUAGCAUCAUGCUUCGGCCAUGUUUUUCUGCACAUGGGACAGGACGACUGCACUGUAUUAAGGAGAGGAUGACCGCGGCCAUGUAUUGUGAGAUUUUGGGGAACAACCUCUUUCCCUCAGUCAGAGCAUUGAAAAUGGGUCGUGGUUGGACCUUUCAAUGUGAAAAUGACCCGAAGCACACAGUCAGGAAAACCAAGGAGUGGCUCCGUAAGAAGCAUAUCAAGGUUCUGGCGUGGCGUAGCCAGUCUCCAGACUUAUACCCAAUAGAAAAUCUUUGUAAGGAGCUGAAACUCCGAGUUUCUCAACAACAGGCCAGAAACCUGUCUGAUCUAGAGAACAUCUGUGUGGAGGAAUGGGUCAAAUUCCCUCCUGCAGUGUGCAAACCUGGUGAACAACUACAAGAGAAGUUUGACCUCUGUAGUGGCAAACAAAAGCUACUGUACCAAAUAUUAACAUUGGUUUUCUCAGGUGUUCAAAUACUUAAAUGCAGAUGUAUCACACAAAUAAAUUGUUGAAAAAAAACACACAAUGUGAUUUCUGGAUUUUUCUUUUGAGACUCUCUCUCUCACAGUGGACAUGCACCUAUGAUGAAAAUUUCAGACCCCUCCAUGAUUUCUAAGUGGGAGAACUUGCAAUAUAGCAGGGUGUUCAAAUACUUAUUUUCUUCAGUGCACAUGAAAACUCCUGGAGUGUGUGUGUGGGGGUGGGGUGAGGUGGGAGGAGUCGUACUUCACGUUUUUUUACAUUUCACGGGUUCUGGUCCCCAGUAAGUGCAAAAAAAUGAGGGAUUACUGUAUAUAUAUUCGAGGGAAAGGCAGGAAAGCCUGAAUUAAAAAAAAUAAAAUAAAAAAAAUAAUAAUCACUUGAAGGCCAUGGACUAGAAAACAACAAUUUGGGUCCCAUCAUUUAGAACAAUACACAAUCAUCCAAUUCAAUAAUGACAUGAGGGACAUAUACUUGACACCCUAAGAAAGGAAGAAUGCACACAAUACUAUCCACUAUUUGGCAAUUUGUCAAAACCUGCAAGGUUGUAGAAAGUUCAUACAAGUACAAGAUAAUGUACUUCCAAUCAGUUAUAUAUUAAAUGAUUGUACUCAACACCAUGAAACAAAUGUUGUACGAAUACAAUUGAGAGAUAUUUCAGAUAAUAUAAGCAUGCAACGCCACAACAAAAGAAAAUACUCAGGCAUGACAGCACAUUUUAAAUAAAACUUUAAAGGGGCUCCAAGGAGAUUUUAUUUCUAUAUACAUUAAAUGUGUUUGAAGUGCUGAAAACAUACAUGAAGACAUUAACAUGGUGCUGAAUUUUCAUGAUACACUAUAACUUAAGCAUGUUCAUUUGAAGUUUGCUCAUUUUGUGGGCAGCGGAAAACAUACUUUCUCGCCCAAAUUCCAUCCACCACUAUACAAGGACAAUUUUAGUCAAAAGGCAUUCAUAUUUGGCAGGCAUGUUAAUAUCACGUCAUUUUUUUGGGUUUGCUUUGUGCCAUUAAGUAUCGUAAUUUCUCAUGUAUAAUGCAUCCUCAAGUAUUAAGUAAUAAUUAAUAAUAAUCUUUGUGCAUGCACUGUUACAGCGGUUAUAUAAAGUAUAUCUCGGGACAGGCCACAGAACACGCUUUUCCUGGUCCCUUCAAUUGUCAGAACAGAAUCCCUCAACCAACUAAAACAAAUGCUCAUUGACAGCAUAACAUUUUAUUAACACUCCUGAGAACACCUAUUACAGUCUUAGAUAAAUAAAAUCUUUAACACUGUUUAACUUGAAAAAAUUUUGCAUUAAAUAUUUGAACAUAAAACAUAUGUGCAUAGCGUACUUUAUCCACUACAUUACACAUCCUUGGCCAAGACUUGAAUAGAAGCAUAUGACUCAUCUCCAAUCUUAAAAAGAUCCAUAGUAGCUACCUUUGAUGCAUCGUUGUGGAACUCAUUAUUGAUGACUUGGUCCAGUUCUGGUGUCUCCUGCAUUGCAGCAUGAACAGUGAUCCUAUCUUGCUCCCACAGAUUGUCAUCCUCUAUGUCAUCCACGGUUUUAGUGAGGAAACAUUUUUCGAGUCCCAAGAGUUUGGGUUCCGCAGCACAGCCACUGUUCAUUCAGCUACAAUCUGUAGCAGCUUUCCUAUGCAGUUGGGUCGCUGUCAAACCAAUGAGAGCUCAAACUACGUAAAAAUGAGCAUAAUAAUAUUAAAUAAAAAAAAAAAAAUUCAAGUGUGCGCGCCCUCUGUUCCCCCCCCUCCCACCCAUGUGUCCAUUAGGCUUGUACUACGUAGUUUGAGCUUACAUUGUUUUGAACUGCCACGCUGCUUCCGGGUUCCCCCUCACAUUGUUUUGAACUGCCGUGCUGCUUCCGGGUUCCCCCUCGUUAUCGGCAGGAGCGAUGACAUUUCUUUUAACAGCAGCUGCACAACUAGCCCUUGUCGUCGACAUUUUUUUAUCUUCGUUUAAGUUAAAACAAACUCGGGGGCCGUCGUUUCUGAUGUUUGGUGCAGUAGCAGCAAAUGUGCUACGCUAACGAUCGUAAAAUGCCAAGCUCCCUAAGGAGGUCAGAGAGCUCAGAAACUCCACACUGUCAUCCUAGCUAAUACCAGCUGACUAUGUACGGGAAACUAGGCCUGGGAGAGCCGCAGUGACGUCAGCGAGGUCAGUGGACAUGUUGCCGGAGAAAAAUA